CUCCUCCCUUCCCGAGCCUCCCUCGCACACUGUCCCUGUGCCCAGCGCUCGCCGCUGCCUCAGCAGCUCCGCGGGGCCCUGCCAGGAGCGGAACCUGUCCAGAAGCUGUGCAAAACAAGCAGUUUUGGGCCAAAGGAGCCGCCCCCGGCGCAGCCCCGCGGGAGCUCGCGGGUGUCGCGGAGCGGCUUUUUGGGAGCUGCUUGGCCGGCACGAGGGGCACCAGGAGCCGUAUCCAGGUUCCUGCAGGAAUGCUGCUCUUGGACGUGCCUCCUGCUUCCCCACCUGGGAAUGAGAGCCCAAUUCUCACAUGUACCCACUCUGGCCAACGCUUCAGACCUCCAAAAUUCCAGGUGGUGGGUACCCACAAGUGCUAAAAACACCAGGGACUGCAUCAUUUCUGGUCAUCACAUCACUCAGGUGAAGGACAGGACAUGCUGACAUUGGGAGAAGGGAAGUUUGUGCAUCUGGACUCCAGGAGUUCCUUUCUGCUAUCCAAAACUAAGAAAAAGAAGCUCCAAGACUGCUCUAACUAAUACUAGCACCUAAAAAUGUUUCCUGCAUUGCCCAGGAUCAGGCAGAAAAGGGUGGUAGCAGAGGUGUCAACCCAAAGAUGUUUAGGAGAGUCACAAAAGACAAUAAUGGUUUAUUUUGCGUGGGUGGGAUGUUUAAUGAUGUUAAAAAGUGUUUCACAUGUCACAGCAACAGGUGAGAUCCUGGCCACAGGUAUUUAAAUUAAAACUCUGUAAGCAGCCUUCUGUUACCUGCCCUGGGUAAGUAAAUUCUUGAAGGUACUGGAGAAAGUGCAGUGGAGGCCAACCAAGGUGGAGAGAGACUUAGAGAACUGUCUUUGCUCAGCUAUAAGAGGAGAAGGAUGAGGGGAGGUUUUAUUGCUGCCUUCAAUCACAGAUUCUUUUCAGAGAUACAUAAUGAUAAGAGACAAACACCAAUUAUAACACAGGAAAUUCUGAUGGGAAACACAAAAACAGGUGACCAGUCAGGGGAGAUUUCCAUUCUCAAAGAUAGUUGGGUUGGAUGUUAGGAAAAGGUUCUUUACCCAGGUUGUGGUUGGCACUGGAACAGGCUCCCCAGGGCAGUGGUCACAGCACCAGCCUGACAGAGUUCAAGGAGUGUUUGGGCAACACUCUCAGGCACAGGGUGGGAUUCCUUGAGUUGUCCUCUAUGGGGCCAGGAUCUGGAUUCCAUGAUCCUUCCAACUCAGGAUACUCCAUGAUUCUAUAAUUCAGCUGGACAAAAAGCUAAGCAACUUCUCAUUGGACCUGCUUUGAGCCAGGAAUUGAACUAGGUGACCUCCAGAAGUCCCUUCCAACCAAAAUUCUUCCAUGAUUUUAUGGUAAGUGACUACUGGAUCAUUAAUCCAGCUUAACCUGAUGGAAGUUACUUGGACAGUUCUAAUACUUCCCUGAGCGAAUAAGAAAUUUAAACCCAAUCCAGACUCGCUGAAGUCAGUAGAAAUCUUGAGCUUAACUUGAAAGGCACUGGAUCAACUUCAAUGCUUUUAGGAUUCAUGAUCAGAAAAGAUACUAAACUUUAGUUUUGUAGGUGGUACUAGGAAUUGCUUUUUUUUAAAACUGUGAGUUUCUCAAUAAGUUGUCUCUGCAGUGAGAUGAGAGCUGCUCUCUUCUGAGUAGUCACAAAUCCUGUGCAGAGAGUCACCAGCAGAGCAGGAGUUUGCUCUGAGGGGGUGUAACUCCACUUUUCAGUUUGCACUUCCAGGAAAAUUCCCAUUUGCCAAGUGUUAUUGGUAAUGAGCCUCUUGUCUAACGUGGGUUCAGCUCAGGUCAACUGCUGCUUUCACGUUGAGACACUGUCUAUAAUAAUUGAAAUUUAUGUCACAGAAUGGUAAACCUGUGACCUCUGUAGAGUGAGAUAACGGUUCCAAUCCUGUUUUCAGCAGACUGCUGUGAAUUAACACGGCCACUGCCUUCCCUUUUUCACCUCAUCAUUUUUCUCUGUAAAACAAGCUUUUUCCUCUUCCUUAUCUUGUCUCUUAGAAGAGAUCCUGUUAUUUAUCUUCAACAUGAAACAGAGUAAAACAACACAAGGGAGUAAUUACAACACAAUAAAUGUCAAGUACUAGUUAAUUAUUUUGAUUUUUCCUGUGAAGGUUAAAAACUGAAAAAAAAACCCAUGACUUUUUGUAAAAACGGUGAAUGCCUUUACACAAACAAAGAGAAUGGAAACACAGAUUUAUCUUAAUAAAUAUGGGAGUCAUAUAAUACAAAGAAAGAAAACAUGUAAGGAAACAAACAUGUUUCAAAUCCUUAAAAGAAAUCACAUUCACAAUCCCUCAAGAAGUAGCUGUCCUAAUCCCUUGGAUUAACUGAAAUUUCCUGAGAAGGAAGCAUACCUAUCUGGUUAGGGUGGAGAUUUGGAUUAUCUCCAAGGAGCAUCCAUAUUUUGAGUAAUCCUCUGAUAUGAAGCUGCAACACUUAAAUGUUCUCCAAAAGUGCAUAUGUGACCUGCAAUAUGAGAUUUUCCUUUCCUGAUAUGUUCCUUCUCACCAUACUCUGGGCUUGAACUGCACAACAAGCACUUUCUUUUCAUAAUGGCCCCUGUUGUUAUGCUAAUAUUUUGUUCUGCACCAUCCCAAACUAAACAGAACACCCUCAUUGACGGGUGAGGGUUGUUAUAAAAUGCUAAAAAUCAAAAUUGCUUCUUGUUUCGCUUUCCUAAGAAAGUCAACACAUGGAACUUGUGAUCUCAUAUCCUUUUUUACCAUGUCCCUUAUGCCAGCAAACAUGAAACAAAGUCUUUACUUCUUAGUCACACCACAUCAGCACCUAUGUAAUGAAACUAAAUUUAAACUUUGGUUAUACUGUCAAAUAAAAAAAGGCACAUGUGGCAAAAGUCCAGCUCCAGACCAGGAUUAUCCUGUAAAUCCAGGACUCUCCAGAAUCCUUGGUAGUGUGGAAAACUUAUUUUGCAAAAUACUGAGUAGUGUUUAGAUUUUAAAUAUCUCCAUGCCUUUGUUAUUUGAUUCUGACGUGUUGCUUUUAGCUUAAUUUAACUGUUUAAUUGACACAAAAAUAAUUCAUCUGCUCAGCUGUGUUCCAGCUAACAGUUCAUUAAAAGAGACAACUGAUUAAACUCACUUAUGUGAAUGAAUGUAGCAAAGCAUAAUUUGUGUGUGGUUGUACGAAGGUGAUUACGUGCGACUGUUGAAAGAAGAAAAGGACUGGUAAAACAAAAGGGGAAAAAGAGGGAGUUUACAAAAUAUAAAUCUUAUCCUCUCAUCAAAACUAAUCCCCUUCACAUCUGGAAAUUCCAGUCUUUAUCAAAUUUCAGAGUCUCUUGCCUGGAUGUUAAUAAUUAUAAACCCCUUAAGAGCAUCAUAAGACUCUUGAUGACUCAGGAUGAAGUAUUCUUACGCAUCGUCAGUCUUUCAUGUAAUUUCAGUUGUGAUUGCUAAGCUAAUUCUUAGGUUAAACAACCGGCAAUUGUGGGCAGGCCCAUGACAAUUGGCUGGGUGAGAGCGGUUUUUACAACGCGUUAAUGACUGGGGGAUUGAUCCUGCAACGCUGAGCUCAGUGGCAGCUUUGUCCUCAGCGAGGACCAAGAGCAAACAAAACCAGCAACAUCCACGUGCCCACAUCCAUGUGCCCUCACAUUUUAUAAAGAGCGUCUAAUGAACGGAACAGGAGAGAGCCUGGCUGAUAAAAUAUUCUGGGUGUUCUCUGCUUCACAGAUUGUCUUGUAGCAAAAGAUCUAGUCAAGAGAAUCGGGCUUUGAGAAAUUGAAUAGCAAGGUAUAGGCAUUUCUUGGUGUCCAGUGACGCCAAUUAAAUGAAGUGUGCUCCUCCGUGCUGGAAAGAAGUGUAGAAGGUAUUCCUGUUGGAGUCCUGGUGUGUAUUAAUCCACCCCAGCCUUUUAAAUACUUCAAAUCAACUUAUGUUGUCUCGGAAUGUGGCUUUAAGCUGAUUGAUGGUUUGUGUGCUGCGGAGAAGCACAGAUGGUCCCAAAGAGACCAUAUGCAUUGUACUGCCGAGAAACUGGUGGAGAGCUCAGGGACAGGGGCCAAAAUGAACUGGCAUAGCCAGGCAAGCCAUGCCAGCUCUUCUUCAGACAUCAAACGUGGUUAUUUUGUCCCUUUUUCCAUAACAAGUUCAGGCUUUCUAGCAAGACUUUUCCAUUUCAACUCCCAAGGCAGCAGAGAUUCCAAAGGGAGGGGGGGAAAAAAAUCACCGUUUAAAUGUUUUUCAUCUUUCCCCUCAAUUUUAUUUUCUUUAAAAUUUUUGUUGACUAAGUUGACAUUCAUUUUUUAAGUUCCACAUGUCAUAGGAAAAGCAAAUUUUCCCAGCCACUGGGUCUUUGGUGACAUUUUGCUUCAGACAGAAGGAACCAUGUGAAAUGCGGGUGCUUUGCAGAUGAGCUCUGAAACCUCAAUAAACUGCAUUUCCCUUCCUGAGCUGCCUGGAUUUUUGACAUCUUUGGGCUUUGGAAGAAAAUGGGAGAUGCCAUGCUUUUCCCAUAUUUCAUAUACAAAAAGGAGAAAAAUGGAGGCAUAACCCCUCUCCAAUAUUUUAGAAUAUUAAUAAUAUUUUAUAUAGUAAUUUACAUUAAUGGUAAAUAUAUUACCUUUAUUCUCCUUUUUAUAUUUUAUUAAUUCAUAAUAUAUAUUUCAUAUGCUUGCAUUUUAUAUGCUUUAUUUUGUAUUUUGCUUAUAUUUAU